rnacentral:sRNA from 1 species
AAAUUGCGUGAGGGAUUGAAACGGCAUCCUUUUCUGUUACUCUGAUUUUGUCGAAGAAUAAGAAGUAACAGAAAAGAUAUAGUGGAAAGCCCGACCCUGU